rnacentral:rRNA from 1 species
UACGUAGGGUGCAAGCGUUAAUCGGAAUUACUGGGCGUAAAGCGUGCGCAGGCGGUUGUGCAAGACAGAUGUGAAAUCCCCGGGCUUAACCUGGGAAUGGCAUUUGUGACUGCACGGCUAGAGUGUGUCAGAGGGGGGUAGAAUUCCACGUGUAGCAGUGAAAUGCGUAGAUAUGUGGAGGAAUACCGAUGGCGAAGGCAGCCCCCUGGGAUAACACUGACGCUCAUGCACGAAAGCGUGGGGAGCGAACAGG